CGUUUGCGUGAGGGAUAGAAGUGGAAAGCCCGGAGCCUGACGAAGGAAGAGCGAGGACUUGUAGCGGAUAGCCCGACCCGGA
rnacentral:misc_RNA from 1 species